rnacentral:lncRNA from 1 species
GACAACUCAGGGCCGCAUCGACGGUGAAUAAAAUCCUUCCUGUUUGCAGCCAUGUUUGUGGUUGGUGGCAGCGAUGGAGACUGCAGCCAGCCAGUGUAGAAAGGCAUUGGGUGAAAGAAGAUUGCCACGGAGACAGAGAGCAGCAUGGUCAGUGUGGUAGGAGCCGGCCAUCAGCGAGAGCUGCUCCAUGCCUGGCUGCUGGGAGCUAGAGCCUGCGGCCCACUGGCUUGCCUCACUGUAGUUGGUGGUGGCAGUGACAGAGACUGCAGCAUGACCAGAGUGGCUUUUCUGGCUUUGCCCGCCCAGCUGCUCCAUGCCAGGAGGAGGAGGAGACACCUAGAGCCUGCAACACCACGGCUCACCUCGCUGCGGAUGAAAUGAUGACUUGAGAUGAAAUGAUGAGAUGAAAUGACGAAAUGAUGAGAUGAGAUGAUGAGAUGAAAUUUUGAGAUGAAAUGGUGAGUAGAAAUGAUGAGAUGAAAUGAUGAGACGAAAUGACAAAAUUGAAAAGAAAUUGAAAGGAGAGGAGAUGAGAUAAAAUGAGAUGAAAUGAGAUGAUGGAUGAAAUGAGAUGAAACGAGAUGAAAUGAAAUAAUGAAAUGAUAUGAAAUAAUGAAAUUGAAAUGAGAUGAUAUGAGAUGAAAUAAUGAGAUAAAAUGAUGAGAUGAGAUGAACGAUGAGAUGAAAUGAUGAAAUGAAAUGAGAUGAAAAAUGAUGAGAUGAAAAAUGAGAUGAAAUGAAAUAAUGAAAUGAGAUGAAAUGAAAUGAAAUAAUGAAAGGAAAUUAUGAAAUGUAAUGAUGAAAUUGAAAUGAGAUGAGUUGAAAUGAUGAGAUGUAAUGGUGAAAUGAAAUGAGGAAAUGAGAUGAGAUGAAAUGAGAUGAAAUAAUGAGAUGAAAUGAGAUAAUGAGAUGAGAUGAAAUCAUGAGAUGAAAUGAUGAAAUGAAAUGAUGGAUGAAAUUAUGAGAUGAAAGAUGAAAUGUAAUGAGAUGAAAUGAAAUGACAUAAUGAAAUGAAAUAAUGAAAUGAGAUGAAAUAAAAUAAUGAAAUGAUGAAAUAAUGAAAUGAAAAUGAAAUGGAAAUGAUGAGAUGAGAAGAAAUGAUGAGAUGAAAUGAUGAAAUGAUGAGAUGAGAUAAAAUGAGAUGAAAUGAUGAGAUGAGAUGAAAUAUGAUGAGAUGAAAUGACAUAAUGAAUGAAAUGAUGAAAUGGAAUAAUGAAAUGGAAAUGAUGAGCUGAGAUGCAAUGAGUUGAAAUGAGAUGAAAUGAUGAAAUGAGAUGAAAUGAUGAGAUGAGAUGUGAUGAAAUGAUGACAUGAAAUGAUGACAUAAAAUGAGAUGAAAUGAGAUGUAAUGAUGGAAUGAGAUGAGAUGAAAUGAGAUGAAAUAGAUGAGAUAAAAUGAUGAUAUGAAAUGAUGAGAUGAAUGAUGAGAUGAGAUGAAUGAUGAAAUGAAAUGAUGAGAUGAGAUGAUGAAAUGAAAUGGUGAGAUGAAAUGAUGAGAUGAAAUGAAAUAGUGAAAUGAAAUUGAAAUAAAAUCGAAAUGAGAUGAAAUGAUGAGAUGAUGAAAUAAAAUGAUGAAAUGAUGAGAUGUGAUGAGAUGAAAUGAUGAGAUGAAAUGAUGAGAUGAGAUGACAUGAAAUAAUGAAAUGAAAUUGAAAUGAGAUAAGAUACGAGAUGAGAUGAAAUGAUGAGAUGAAAUGAUGAAAUGAUGAGAUAAGAUGAAAAGGGUUGAGAUGAUGAGAUGAAAUGAGAUGAAAAGAUGAAAUGAUGAGAUGAAAUGAAAUGAUGAGAUGAAAUGAGGUGAAAUGAAAUUAGAUGAAAUGUAAUGAGAUGAAAUGAAAUGACAUAAUGAAAUGAAAUAAUGAAAUGAGAUGAAAUAAAAUAAUGAAAUGAUGAAAUAAUGAAAUGAAAAUGAAAUGGAAAUGAGAUGAGAAGAAAUGAUGAGAUGAAAUGAUGAGAUAAAAUGAGAUGAAAUGAUGAGAUGAGAUGAAAUAUGAUGAGAUGAAAUGACAUAAUGAAUGAAAUGAUGAAAUGGAAUAAUGAAAUGGAAAUGAUGAGCUGAGAUGCAAUGAGUUGAAAUGAGAUGAAAUGAUGAAAUGAUGAGAUGAGAUGUGAUGAAAUGACAUGAAAUGAUGACAUAAAAUGAGAUGAAAUGAGAUGUAAUGAUGGAAUGAGAUGAGAUGAGAUGAAAUGAUAGAUGAGAUAAAAUGAUGAUAUGAAAUGAUGAGAUGAAUGAUGAGAUGAUGAGAUGAAUGAUGAAAUGAAAUGAUGAGAUGAUGAAAUGGUGAGAUGAAAUGAUGAGAUGAAAUAGUGAAAUUGAAAUAAAAUCGAAAUGAGAUGAAAUGAUGAGAUGAUGAAAUAAAAUGAUGAAAUGAUGAGAUGUGAUGAGAUGAAAUGAUGACAUGAAAUGAUGAGAUGAGAUGAGAUGACAUGAAAUAAUGAAAUGAAAUUGAAAUGAAAUAAGAUACGAGAUGAGAUGAAAUGAUGAGAUGAAAUGAUGAAAUGAUGAGAUAAGAUGAAAAGGGUUGAGAUGAUGAGAUGAAAUGAGAUGAAAAGAUGAAAUGAGAUGAAAUGAAAUGAUGAGAUGAAAUGAGGUGAAAUGAAAUUAGAGGAAAUGUAAUGAGAUGAAAUGAAAUGACAUGAAAUGAAAUAAUGAAAUGAGAUGAAAUAAAAUAAUGAAAUGAUGAAAUAAUGAAAUGAAAAUGAAAUGGAAAUGAUGAGAUGAGAAGAAAUGAUGAGAUGAAAUGAUGAAAUGAUGAGAUGAGAUAAAAUGAGAUGAAAUGAUGAGAUGAGAUGAAAUAUGAGAUGAAAUGACAUAAUGAAUGAAAUGAUGAAAUGGAAUAAUGAAAUGGAAAUGAUGAGCUGAGAUGCAAUGAGUUGAAAUGAGAUGAAAUGAUGAAAUGAUGAGAUGAAAUGAUGAGAUGAGAUGUGAUGAAAUGACAUGAAAUGAUGACAUAAAAUGAGAUGAAAUGAGAUGUAAUGAUGGAAUGAGAUGAGAUGGAAUGAGAUGAGAUGAAAUGAGAUGAAAUGAUAGAUGAGAUAAAAUGAUAUGAAAUGAUGAGAUGAAUGAUGAGAUGAUGAGAUGAAUGAUGAAAUGAAAUGAUGAGAUGAGAUGAUGAAAUGAAAUGGUGAGAUGAAAUGAUGAGAUGAAAUGAAAUAGUGAAAUGAAAUUGAAAUCGAAAUGAGAGAUGAAAUGAUGAGAUGAUGAAAUAAAAUGAUGAAAUGAUGAGAUGUGAUGAGAUGAAAUGAUGAGAUGAAAUGAUGAGAUGAGAUGAGAUGACAUGAAAUAAUGAAAUGAAAUUGAAAUGAGAUAAGAUACGAGAUGAGAUGAAAUGAUGAGAUGAAAUGAUGAAAUGAUGAGAUAAGAUGAAAAGAGUUGAUGAGAUGAUGAGAUGAAAUGAGAUGAAAAGAUGAAAUGAUGAGAUGAAAUGAAAUGAUGAGAUGAAAUGAGGUGAAAUGAAAUUAGAUGAAAUGUAAUGAGAUGAAAUGAAAUGACAUAAUGAAAUGAAAUAAUGAAAUGAGAUGAAAUAAAAUAAUGAAAUGAUGAAAUAAUGAAAAUGAAAUGGAAAUGAUGAGAUAAGAAAUGAUGAGAUGAAAUGAUGAAAUGAGAUGAGAUAAAAUGAGAUGAAAUGAUGAGAUGAGAUGAAAUAUGAGAUGAAAUGACAUAAUGAAUGAAAUGAUGAAACGGAAUAAUGAAAUGGAAAUGAUGAGCUGAGAUGCAAUGAGUUGAAAUGAGAUGAAAUGAUGAAAUGAUGAGAUGAAAUGAUGAGAUGAGAUGUGAUGAAAUGAUGACAUGAAAUGAUGACAUAAAAUGAGAUGAAAUGAGAUGUAAUGAUGGAAUGAGAUGAGAUGAAAUGAGAUGAAAUGAUAGAUGAGAUAAAAUGAUGAUAUGAAAUGAGAUGAAUGAUGAGAUGAUGAGAUGAAUGAUGAAAUGAAAUGAUGAGAUGAGAUGAUGAAAUGAAAUGGUGAGAUGAAAUGAUGAGAUGAAAUGAAAUAGUGAGAUGAAAUGAUGAGAUGAAAUUGAGAUGA